rnacentral:rRNA from 1 species
CCUACGGGAGGCAGCAGUGGGGAAUAUUGCACAAUGGGGGAAACCCUGAUGCAGCGACGCCGCGUGAGUGAAGAAGUAUCUCGGUACGUAAAGCUCUAUCAGCAGGGAAGAAAAUGACGGUACCUGACUAAGAAGCCCCGGCUAACUACGUGCCAGCAGCCGCGGUAAUACGUAGGGGGCAAGCGUUAUCCGGAUUUACUGGGUGUAAAGGGAGCGUAGACGGCAGCGCAAGUCUGGAGUGAAAUCCCAUGGCUUAACCAUGGAACUGCUGUGGAAACUGUGCAGCUAGAGUGCAGGAGAGGUAAGCGGAAUUCCUAGUGUAGCGGGGAAAUGCGUAGAUAUUAGGAGGAACACCAGUGGCGAAGGCGGCUUACUGGACUGUAACUGACGUUGAGGCUCGAAAGCGUGGGGAGCAAACAGGAUUAGAUACCCGUGUAGUC